UACGUAGGGUGCAAGCAUUAAUCGGAUUUAUUGGGCGUAAAGGGCGCGUAGGCGGAAAUGCGAGUCAAUUGUGAAAUCCCGGGGCUCAACCCCGGAACUGCAUUUGAAACUACAUUUCUAGAGGGUAGGCGGAGAAAACGGAAUUCCACAAGUAGCGGCGAAAUGCGUAGAUAUGUGGAAGAACACCAGUGGCGAAGGCGGUUUUCUAGCUUAUACCUGACGCUGAGGCGCGAAAGCAAGGGGAGCAAACAGG
rnacentral:rRNA from 1 species